GAACCUAGGAAGAGUCCCACAAUAGGACGAAACGGCCGUCCAGUGC
rfam:Schistosoma haematobium scaffold429_7, whole genome shotgun sequence.